rnacentral:lncRNA from 1 species
GGCGCAGAACAGGCCAUAGCAGAAGUGUUCAUGGUGCAGUCCUGUCAGAUUCCAGCACACCUGCAAAUUCUGCU